AAGCAACCACAUUUUUCCCUUGAUUUUGGCAACCAUCCCAGUUUUCACCGGAAUACAUCAGACGCGCAAAACCAAUAUGAGAAACGUCUUGAAUUUCCUCGCAGAUCGUGUAACAUAUGACAGAGCAGAAAACGGUUCGCAUUAUUCGAUCAAUGGAUCACGCCUAUUACAUCAUAAGAAUCAGUACACGUGGAUCCCUGGCAGAGCAGAUUAUACGUUUACGCAACGAAAACGAGGUGGAACACAUAUCCUAGCAUUUUUUUUUUAGCAUUUCAAAUCACCGUCUACGAUGAUAAUGUCGCAUAUCGGUAGGUAGUAUACAACAACGCCACUAUGCUAAUACCUUUUGCCUCUUUCUUCCUAUUUAAGCUGCGAAAUGUGGAAAAAGAAUGCACAAGAAGCAAGGCUCCAACUAUUUUCUUUUUUUUUCAGUGAUCAAUGUAGAAACUUAUUAAAGAAAGAAGAUAUGUUAUUCACAGUCAAUGGAUCAUCUUGAAGCAAAUAUGAUGGCAAAAAAUAAUAGAGAGGGAAAGAU
rnacentral:misc_RNA from 1 species